rnacentral:lncRNA from 1 species
CCAGGAGGAGCAGCCCUUGUGCCACCCAAUAGUAGAAAGGGCAUUAAAAUCUUGUGGACCAGGUGGCACUGCUCAUGUGAAAUUAGUAGUCGAGUGGGACAAGGAGACAAGAGAUUUCUUAUUUGUAAAUACUGAGGAUGAGUAUAUUCCUGAUGCAGAAAGUGUUCGUCUGCAAAGGGAGCGUCAUCAUCAGCCUCAAACCUGCACUUUAUCCCAGUGUUUCCAACUGUACACCAAAGAGGAGCGGCUUGCCCCCGAUGAUGCCUGGCGUUGCCCACACUGUAAGCAGCUGCAGCAGGGAAGCAUUACGUUAAGCCUCUGGACUCUGCCUGAUGUGCUUAUUAUACAUCUAAAGAGAUUUCGGCAGGAAGGAGACAGGCGCAUGAAACUUCAGAACAUGGUCAAAUUCCCCUUGACUGGCCUGGACAUGACACCUCACGUGGUUAAGAGGAGCCAGAGCAGCUGGAGUUUGCCAUCGCAUUGGUCCCCGUGGAGACGGCCCUAUGGACUCGGGAGGGACCCUGAGGACUACAUCUAUGACCUGUAUGCUGUGUGCAAUCACCAUGGCACCAUGCAAGGGGGGCACUACACAGGUCUGCAGUGUGAGAGGCUGCGUGUCUGUGCUGGCGAGUCCUUCAGACGGGUUUGCUUGUGGCAGGGUGACUUGACUUUAGAGCCUCAUUUCCCCUCCGGUAGGCAGUGUGCCAACUGUGAGGGCAGUUUCCAUCCUCUGGAUCUCUGCCCAAGAGCAAAUAAACGAACAUUCUUCCUCCUUUUCCUGAG